rnacentral:rRNA from 1 species
GAUGAACGCUGGCGGCGUGCUUAACACAUGCAAGUCGAACGAUGAUGCCAGCUUGCUGGUGGAUUAGUGGCGAACGGGUGAGUAACACGUGAGUAACCUGCCCUUAACUCUGGGAUAAGCCUGGGAAACUGGGUCUAAUACCGGAUAUGACCUUCCAUCGCAUGGUGGUCGGUGGAAAGCUUUUUGUGGUUUUGGAUGGACUCGCGGCCUAUCAGCUUGUUGGUGAGGUAAUGGCUUACCAAGGCGACGACGGGUAGCCGGCCUGAGAGGGUGACCGGCCACACUGGGACUGAGACACGGCCCAGACUCCUACGGGAGGCAGCAGUGGGGAAUAUUGCACAAUGGGCGCAAGCCUGAUGCAGCGACGCCGCGUGAGGGAUGACGGCCUUCGGGUUGUAAACCUCUUUCAGUAGGGAAGAAGCGAAAGUGACGGUACCUGCAGAAGAAGCGCCGGCUAACUACGUGCCAGCAGCCGCGGUAAUACGUAGGGCGCAAGCGUUAUCCGGAAUUAUUGGGCGUAAAGAGCUCGUAGGCGGUUUGUCGCGUCUGCCGUGAAAGUCCGGGGCUCAACUCCGGAUCUGCGGUGGGUACGGGCAGACUAGAGUGAUGUAGGGGAGACUGGAAUUCCUGGUGUAGCGGUGAAAUGCGCAGAUAUCAAGAGGAACACCGAUGGCGAAGGCAGGUCUCUGGGCAUUAACUGACGCUGAGGAGCGAAAGCAUGGGGAGCGAACAGGAUUAGAUACCCUGGUAGUCCAUGCCGUAAACGUUGGGCACUAGGUGUGGGGGACAUUCCACGUUUUCCGCGCCGUA